GGGGAAUAUUGCACAAUGGGCGAAAGCCUGAUGCAGCAACGCCGCGUGAGGGAUGACGGCCUUCGGGUUGUAAACCUCUUUUAGUAGGGAAGAAGCGUAAGUGACGGUACCUGCAGAAAAAGCACCGGCUAACUACGUGCCAGCAGCCGCGGUAAUACGUAGGGUGCAAGCGUUGUCCGGAAUUAUUGGGCGUAAAGAGCUCGUAGGCGGCUUGUCGCGUCUGCUGUGAAAACCCGGAGCUCAACUCCGGGCCUGCAGUGGGUACGGGCAGGCUAGAGUGCGGUAGGGGAGAUUGGAAUUCCUGGUGUAGCGGUGGAAUGCGCAGAUAUCAGGAGGAACACCGAUGGCGAAGGCAGAUCUCUGGGCCGCUACUGACGCUGAGGAGCGAAAGCAUGGGGAGCGAAC
rnacentral:rRNA from 1 species